rnacentral:rRNA from 1 species
GUCCACGCCGUAAACGAUGAGUACUAGGUGUAGGGGGUAUCGACCCCCUCUGUGCCGAAGCUAACGCGAUAAGUACUCCGCCUGGGGACUACGGCCGCAAGGCUAAAACUCAAAGGAAUUGACGGGGGCCCGCACAAGCAGCGGAGCGUGUGGUUUAAUUCGAUGAUACGCGAAGAACCUCACCCAGGUUUGACAUGCAUGUGGUACAGAGAUCAAAGUCAACGGACCCUUCGGGGAGCAUGCACAGGUGUUGCACGGCCGUCGU